rnacentral:rRNA from 1 species
AGGCAGCAGUGGGGAAUAUUGCACAAUGGGCGCAAGCCUGAUGCAGCCAUGCCGCGUGUAUGAAGAAGGCCUUCGGGUUGUAAAGUACUUUCAGCAGUGAGGAAGGUGGAGUCGUUAAUAGCGGCCUCAUUUGACGUUUAGCUGCAGAAGAAGCACCGGCUAACUCCGUGCCAGCAGCCGCGGUAAUACGGAGGGUGCGAGCGUUAAUCGGAAUUACUGGGCGUAAAGCGCAUGCAGGUGGUUUGUUAAGUCAGAUGUGAAAGCCCGGGGCUCAACCUCGGAAUUGCAUUUGAAACUGGCAGACUAGAGUACUGUAGAGGGGGUAGAAUUUCAGGUGUAGCGGUGAAAUGCGUAGAGAUCUGAAGGAAUACCGGUGGCGAAGGCGGCCCCCUGGACAGAUACUGACACUCAGAUGCGAAAGCGUGGGGAGCAAACAGGAUUAGAUACCCUGGUAG